rnacentral:rRNA from 1 species
GAUGAACGCUAGCGGGAGGCCUAACACAUGCAAGCCGAGCGGUAUUUGUUCUUCGGAACAGAGAGAGCGGCGCACGGGUGCGGAACACGUGUGCAACCUGCCUUGAUCUGGGGGAUAGCCUUUCGAAAGGAAGAUUAAUACCCCAUAAUAUAUUGAGUGGCAUCAUUUGAUAUUGAAAACUCCGGUGGAUAGAGAUGGGCACGCGCAAGAUUAGGUAGUUGGUGAGGUAACGGCUCACCAAGUCAAUGAUCUUUAGGGGGCCUGAGAGGGUGAUCCCCCACACUGGUACUGAGACACGGACCAGACUCCUACGGGAGGCAGCAGUGAGGAAUAUUGGACAAUGGGUUAGCGCCUGAUCCAGCCAGCCCGCGUGAAGGACGACGGCCCUAGGGGUUGUAAACUUCUUUUGUAUAGGGAUAAACCUACUCUCGUGAGAGUAGCUGAAGGUACUAUACGAAUAAGCACCGGCUAACUCCGUG